UACGAAGGGUGCAAGCGUUACUCGGAAUUACUGGGCGUAAAGCGUGCGUAGGUGGUGAGUUAAGUCUGUCGUGAAAGCCCCGGGCUCAACCUGGGAGUGGCGAUGGAUACUGGCUCGCUAGAGUGCGGUAGAGGAGAGUGGAAUUCCCGGUGUAGCAGUGAAAUGCGUAGAGAUCGGGAGGAACAUCAGUUGCGAAGGCGGCUCUCUGGACCAGCACUGACACUGAGGCACGAAAGCGUGGGGAGCAAACAGG
rnacentral:rRNA from 1 species